GCCUGGAGAAUCCCAGGGACGGCGGAGCCUGGUGGGCUGCCAUCUAUGGGGUCGCACAGAGUCGGACACGACUGAGGCGACUUAGCAGCAGCAGCAGCAGCUUUUUCUUUGCUUCUUUAGUUCAAUGCUUCUUUACUGAUUUGAAAAGUAAGUUGUAUUGCCUAGAGCUGAGGAUUAGUUACCAGCACUGAAAUAAAACUUACUAAUGACAGAAUUUAAAUCACCUUUAUCAUUAUUUUUGCCCAGUUGGUUUAUGGAAAAUAAGAACGAUCCCUAAAGUGCUACAUAAAUAGGACAAACAAGAGAAAGAAUGCUGAUGAUUCCUACUUUAACCACACUUGGUGGCAGACAACAGUUUUCUUUGGACCCCUUCAAGGCCAGAGUGCCCUCCAGCUGCAGCAGGAUUUUGCUAAAGUAAGUGCCUCUGGGACCAAAUUUCAGCUCAUGAGACUGGAACGACGGAUAAACCGCUCUGCCAUCUUCCAGGAGAAGAGCAGCAGUUUCCACCAUGCUGAAGACAUGCUGAACUCCUGGGCUGAUCGCAACUGGAUCUGAAUGGUUCAGCUUCUUGUAAAUUCUCAUCAGCAGUAUUACAAUGAGGUAUUCCAGGUCUGCUCCCUCCUUUUUCAAGUCUGCCUUAAAGGCUUGAUUUGCACUAAAGGAAAAGAAGAUCCCCUGACCUAACUAGUAUAUCAGAAAGAAGAAUGAAGUAGAAAUUUUGGCUCUUGGGCCAUUCUAGUUUGUCAUUUUGUGAAAUUGGAGACAGAUGGGUGCUGUCUGUGUUGUGGGAAAUUCUGUCCUACAUUCCAGCCAAUGCUGGGAGUUCUGGAAGAGGACAGAGAGGGGAAGGAGAAAGCUAUUUGGACAGGGAAGAAUAUAUGCUAAUUCUGUGACAAAAAUAGCGUCAAAUAUGCAAACAUUAAUUUUCAGCAAGUCUCAUUCUUAGCCCGUGUUUUUCCCUUUUCUAGAUUUCACACUAGAAAGUGAAUUUAAACUGGUCACUAACAGAAGCAGAUUCAGAGGUCAUCUGGCUUGUCUCUUACUGCAGAACAUCAAUUUAUUAUAAGCUCUAGGAGGCAGAAAGGACCACUGAUGGUCAAAUAAUCAACCUAUAUUGAAGGCAGAUUCUAACUAAUUUUGAGCUGAUCAGAUUGUUGCUCCAAAGACCCAGUUAAGCAGCAAUAUGUGGGAGAUGGGCUGUUGUGUGGAAAGAGUUGAGGUUUGCAGAAGAAUGGGGUCCAAACUGCAGGGUUUCCAUAACAUAGUGGUGUGAAAGUGAAAGUGUUAGUCGCUCAGUUGUGGCCAACUCUUUGUGAUCACAGGGAGUGUAGCCUGCCAGGCUCCUCUGUCCAUGGGAUUUUCCAGGCAAGAAUACUGGAGUAGGCAGCCAUUGCCUUCUCCAGGAGAUCUUCCCAACCCAGGGAUUGAACCUAGGUCUCCAUAAUUGCAGACAGAUUCUUUACCCUCUGAGCCACCAGGGAAACCAACAUAGUGGAUCUCUCUACAAACAAUCCCAUCCCUUCUAACAGGCAUCCUGAGACUUCUGGGAUCUUGUUCUGGGCUGAGAUGAAAGGGAUCAGGUAGAUUGCCGUGUUGGAGUGAGGAAAGAUACAGUUAGAGAGGUGUCGUAGGGGGACUGGCAAGGUACUGAGGAAGCUCAAGGAGCAUGGGUUUAGGUAGAACCCAAGCAUUAAAUGUUGAAGAUCCACGGGCCUUGAUGUCACUGAAGCAGGGUCUGGAAUGGUGUUGACAUGGUCCCUGCCAGGAACAAGACAGUUAGAUUUAUUUACAGAACAAGUGCUUAGUCGCUCAAUCAUGUCCAGCUGUUUGCGACCCCAUGGACUGUAGCCCGCCAGGCUCCUCUGUCCACGGGGAUUCUCCAGGCAAAAAUAGUGGAGUGGGUUGCCGUUUCCUUCUCCUGGGAUUUACAAAACAAGGAAUGGGGGUAAAAACAAAUCAAGGUUUUUUUGCCAGUAUUGACUGAAAGAAGAGAAGAGAAGUCUUCACAAGAAAAGACAGAGGGUCGGUUUAGGAGAUCCAACCAGUCCAUUCUGAAGGAGAUCAGCCCUGGGACUUCUUUGGAAGGAAUGAUGCUAAAGCUGAAACUCCAGUACUUUGGCCACCUCAUGAGAAGAGUUGACUCAUUGGA